UUAUUUUAAAAAAAUAUAUCAAGUCAAUCCCUUACUUCUCUCUAAAAGCACAAAGUUUCAAAAAGUUCAAUGAACAGAAGAUUGGUGGGGGCGGAAUAGAUCUGGACAAGAAGAAGAAGUCUGGAGAUAAAUGUGAUUAGGGAGGGAC